UUGGGACGUGGCCAUGGGGUCAUGGCAAUCAGGACGUGGCCAUGGGAGUGGGGACGUGGCCAUGGGGUGGUGGCAAUCAGGAUGUGGCCGUGGGGCAGAGGGGAUCAGGACGUGGCCAUGGGGUGGUGGCGACUAGGACGUGGCCAUGGGAGUGGGGACAUGGCCGUGGGGUGGUGGCAAUCAGGACAUGGCCAUGGGAGUGGGGACGUGGCCAUGGGAGUGGGGACAUGGCCAUGGGGUGGUGGCAAUCAGGACGUGGCCUUGGGGCAGCAGGGAUCAGGACGUGGCCAUGGGGUGGUGGCCACUGGGACGUGGCCAUGGGAGCUGGGACGUGGCCAUGGGGUGGUGGCAACAGGACAUGGCCAUGGGAGUGGGGACGUGGCCAUGGGGUGGUGGCAAUCAGGACGUGGCCAUGGGGUGGUGGCAACUGGGAUGUGGCCAUGGGAGUUGGGGCAUGGCCAUGGGGUGGUGGCAACUGGGACAUGGCCAUGGGAGUUGGGAUGUGUCCAUGGGGUGGUGGCCACUGGGAUGUGGCCAUGGGAGUUGGGACGUGGCCAUGGGGUGGUGGCCACUGGGUCGUGGCCAUGGGAGUGGGGACAUGGCCAUGGGGUGGUGGCAAUCAGGACGUGGCCGUGGGGUGGUGGCAACUGGGACGUGGCCAUGGGAGUUGGGACGUGGCCAUGGGGUGGUGGCCAUGGAGAGGUGGCAAUGAGGACCUGAUCAUGGGUUGGUGGCCGUGGGUUUGUGGCAGUGGGGCCAUGGCCAUGGGUUGGUGGCAGUGGGUUGGUGGCCAUGGGUGGUGGCAGUGGGGAGGUGGCCAUAGGGAGGUGGCAGUGUGGCCAUGGCCAUGGGGAGGUGGCUGUGGGUUGGUGGCCAUGUGGACAUGGCCAUGGGUGGUGGCCAUGGGUUGGUGGCAGUGGGUUGGUGGCCAUGGGUGGUGGCCAUGGGUUAGUGGCCAUGUGGACAUGGCCAUGGGUGGUGGCCAUGGGUGGAGGCAGUGGGGAGGUGGCCAUGGGUUGGUGGCCACAGGUUGGUGGCCACGUAGACAUGGCCAUGGGUGGUGGCCAUGGGUGAUGCCAGCGCUGUGUCCCCCCCCGCCGUGUCCCAGGCGUGUGCUCGGAGUUCCUGGUGAAGACGGCCAACGCGGGGGCGGGGGCACUGGCCGUCACCAUCGAUGGCCCCUCCAAGGUGAAGCUGGACUGCGUGGAGUGCCCCGAGGGCCACCGUGUCACCUACACCCCCAUGGCCCCCGGCAACUACCUCAUCUCCAUCAAGUAUGGUGGCCCCCACCACAUCGUGGGGAGCCCCUUCAAGGCCAAGGUCACCGGCCCCCGUCUAUCGGGGGGACACAGCCUGCACGAGACCUCCACGGUGCUGGUGGAGACGGUGACACGGGGGGGGACGGGGGCGACGGGGGCUUCGCGGCCCCCCCCGGCUUUCGGGGGGCUCCCCAAAUUCUCCUCGGACGCGGGGAAGGUGGUGGCCCGAGGACCGGGACUGGCCACCGCCUUCCUGGGCCAGAAGAACCACUUCACCGU
rnacentral:lncRNA from 1 species